rnacentral:tRNA from 1 species
GGCGGGUUAGCUCAGUUGGUUAGAGCGUCGGAAUCAUAAUCCGCAGGUCCACAGUUCGAAUCUGUGACCCGCUACCA